UACAGAGGUGGCAAGCGUUGUUCGGAAUUACUGGGCGUAAAGGGCGCGUAGGCGGCCUUCUAAGUCAGACGUGAAAUCCCCAGGCUUAACUUGGGAACUGCGUCUGAUACUGGGAGGCUUGAGUGCGGGAGAGGGAUGUGGAAUUCCAGGUGUAGCGGUGAAAUGCGUAGAUAUCUGGAGGAACACCGGUGGCGAAGGCGGCAUCCUGGACCGACACUGACGCUGAGGCGCGAAAGCCAGGGGAGCAAACGGG
rnacentral:rRNA from 1 species